rnacentral:lncRNA from 1 species
GGAUCUCGACGAGGGUGUCCGGCGACCUGUGCUCUGAUGUUGCAGGGGCAACACACGCUCAACGAUGGCGUAGCUGCAGGGGACGGACGGACGAACAGGGAAAGGGCUCACUCGCAAGCACAGCUGCAAGGCAGGGGUGGGAGCUGGCCGAGAGCGGAACCAGCCGAGGAGAGGGAAGAACCUGGCGGCGCCGGUCAGUUCUAGUAGAUCUGGCGACGCCGUCUUCCUUCCUGCUCACGGAAGGACGAGAAGGGGCCUGCGCGAGCUAGAUGCAGGGGAGGGGAAGUUCUAUCCGCGAGGUGAAGGAAGAUACGAGCGCCAUGUCGAUGGGAAGGAAGCAGUAUGAGCAGGCAAAGGAAGCGGCGGUGCGCGCGGCUUUCGUCGCGAGCAGGAAGAAAGCCCGCGCGAGGAAAA